GUGUCAGCAGCCGCGGUAAUACGGAGGGUGCGAGCGUUGUCCGGAAUCAUUGGGUGUAAAGGGUGCGUAGGCGGGCUGCUAAGUCUGGGGUGAAAUCCUGCCGCUUAACGGUAGAAUGGCCCCCGAUACUGGCAGUCUUGAGUACAGAAGAGGUCGGUGGAAUUCGUAGUGUAGCGGUGAAAUGCAUAGAUAUUACGAAGAACACCAGUGGCGAAGGCGGCCGGCUGGUCUGUAACUGACGCUGAGGCACGAAAGCGUGGGGAGCGAACAGGAUUAGAUACCCUGGUAGUCCACGCUGUAAACGAUGUAUGCUAGGUGUCGGCCCUUCGGGGUCGGUGCUGCAGUUAACGCAGUAAGCAUACCACCUGGGGAGUACGUCGGCAACGAUGAAACUUAAAUGAAUUGACGGGG
rnacentral:rRNA from 1 species